rnacentral:rRNA from 1 species
UACGUAGGGCGCAAGCGUUGUCCGGAAUUAUUGGGCGUAAAGAGCUCGUAGGCGGCUUGUCACGUCGGGUGUGAAAGCCCGGGGCUUAACCCCGGGUCUGCAUUCGAUACGGGCUAGCUAGAGUGUGGUAGGGGAGAUCGGAACUCCUGGUGUAGCGGUGAAAUGCGCAGAUAUCAGGAGGAACACCGGUGGCGAAGGCGGAUCUCUGGGCCAUUACUGACGCUGAGGAGCGAAAGCGUGGGGAGCGAACAGG